rnacentral:rRNA from 1 species
CAGCAGCCGCGGUAAUACGAAGGUCCCGAGCGUUGUUCGGAAUCACUGGGCGUAAAGGGAGCGUAGGCGGCGUGGUAAGUCAGAUGUGAAAUCCCGGGGCUCAACCCCGGAACUGCAUCCGAUACUGCCAUGCUAGAGGAUUGGAGAGGUAGCUGGAAUUCUUGGUGUAGCAGUGAAAUGCGUGGAGAUCAAGAGGAACACUCGUGGCGAAAGCGAGCUACUGGACAAUAACUGACGCUGAGGCUCGAAGGCCAGGGUAGCGAAAGGGAUUAGAUACCCCUGUAGUCCCUGUCUCUUAUAC